AAGAUACUCACUACGUCCGAAAAUACUUGUCGGAGGAAUGGAUGUAUCGAGAUGCAAUUUAGUUGCAGAUACAUCCAUUUUCAUCUAUUUCUCUGACAAGUAUUUCCGAACGGAGGGAGUAUGAU
rfam:Triticum aestivum genome assembly, contig: Triticum_aestivum_CS42_TGACv1_scaffold_129994_2BL